GGUGGUAUGGUCUAGUGGUAUGACGUCACGUUGUGGUCCCCUGUCUGCAAUCCCGUGCCAGCCUGGGUUCGAUUCCCAGUACCGCCA